GAUGAACGCUAGCGGCAGGCUUAACACAUGCAAGUCGAGGGGUAUGCUUCUUCGGGAGCAGAGACCGGCGCACGGGUGCGUAACGCGUAUGCAAUCUGCCUUUUACAGGGGGAUAGCCCAGAGAAAUUUGGAUUAAUACCCCAUGGUAUUAUAGGGUGGCAUCACCUUAUAAUUAAAGUCACAACGGUAAAAGAUGAGCAUGCGUCCCAUUAGCUUGUUGGUAGGGUAACGGCCUACCAAGGCUACGAUGGGUAGGGGUCCUGAGAGGGAGAUCCCCCACACUGGUACUGAGACACGGACCAGACUCCUACGGGAGGCAGCAGUGAGGAAUAUUGGUCAAUGGACGCAAGCCUGAACCAGCCAUGCCGCGUGCAGGAUGACGGUCCUAUGGAUUGUAAACUGCUUUUGUACGGGAAGAAACACUCCUACGUGUAGGAGCUUGACGGUACCGUAAGAAUAAGGAUCGGCUAACUCCGUGCCAGCAGCCGCGGUAAUACGGAGGAUCCAAGCGUUAUCCGGAAUCAUUGGGUUUAAAGGGUCCGUAGGCGGUCUUGUAAGUCAGUGGUGAAAGCCCAUCGCUCAACGAUGGAACGGCCAUUGAUACUGCAGGACUUGAAUUAUUGGGAAGUAACUAGAAUAUGUAGUGUAGCGGUGAAAUGCUUAGAGAUUACAUGGAAUACCAAUUGCGAAGGCAGGUUACUACCAAUGGAUUGACGCUGAUGGACGAAAGCGUGGGUAGCGAACAGGAUUAGAUACCCUGGUAGUCCACGCCGUAAACGAUGGAUACUAGCUGUUGGGGGCAACUUCAGUGGCUAAGCGAAAGUGAUAAGUAUCCCACCUGGGGAGUACGAACGCAAGUUUGAAACUCAAAGGAAUUGACGG
rnacentral:rRNA from 1 species